GGUGGAUUCCUGAGUUCAGGGCCAGCCUGGUCUACAGAGUGAGUUCCAGGACAGCCAGGACUACACAGAGAAACCCUGUCUCAAAAAAACAAAAAACAAAAAAACAACAAAAAAACCCAAACAAACAAACAAAAAACAAAAACAAAAAACAAAAACAAAAAACAAAAAAAAGAAAAAGAAAAGAAAAGAAAAAAGGAAGGAAGGAAGGAAGGAAGGAAGGAAGGAAGGAAGGAAGGAAGGAAGAUAGAAUUUGUAUUUUGAAGUCUAUUUAAAAGGCAAGGCUAGAGAGAUGAGUCCCCAGGUCAGAGCACCUACUGCCCUUGUAGAAAAUUCAAGUUCAGUUCCCAACAGUCACAAUCAGGAGGCUCACGACUGACUGAGCUGCUCCAGAGGAUCUCACUCCUCUGGCUUCCACAGGCACUGUACUCACAUAUACAUACAUACAUACAUACAUACAUACAUACAUACAUACAUACAUACACACACACACACACAUACAUAUACAAAUAAAAAUAAAAGAAAAUAUUAAUGAGAAAAAGACAGAGGGUCAACACAAUGACUCAGUAAUUAAAGGCACUUGUGUGCUACCCUAACAACCCAACGGAGUUCCCAGAACUCAUGUGAAAAGGCCGAAUGCGGUAGCUACUCAUGCAACCCCAGAAUUCCUGCCUGAGGAUGGAAGUCAGAGGUGGGAAAAACACCGGCCCAGCCCGGAGGGGAGGGGAGGGGCACCUACAGCACAGGGAAGGACAAGAGAGAGGUCCAGCCUCAGGACUGUGGAAGCAGAAUCCUGACUUCUGAGAGCUGCCCUCUGACAUCUCUGAAGCACUGUGGGAUAUGUCUGCUCAUCCUCACAGAAACAAAAAUAAAUCUUAAAAGAAAGGAAAGGAGAAAGAAAAAGAAAAUCAGAUGUUUGCUUGAUCUCAAACACACCCCUGAACUUCAAAGACUCAUUCUACUGAGG
rnacentral:lncRNA from 1 species